rfam:Populus trichocarpa scaffold_7_contig_44, whole genome shotgun sequence.
UAAUUUAUUUGAAGAAGAUUCUCAUCUAGUUAUGGUAAAGUCACAUCUUAUUGUUUAAAAUAUAUAUUUUAGAAUCACCUGUGAGGAUGAGUA